rnacentral:lncRNA from 1 species
CAUAGAGCUAAUCAGAGGAUCUGUUGUCUCUAGGAAACCGAGAAAGAAAACAAUCAGCUCUGUUCUUCUCUCUGAGCUGGGGGAGUGAGCUAUAAUAAGGGAGCACAAGAAUACGUCCAGAGCCAGCAAGCCUGAACACACAGGUUAGCACGCCUGGCUGACCUAACUCGCAGGUGGAUUCUUAACCACUGGACCACCAGGGAAGUCCUAUGACUACUUGAACAUCCUAAUCAUUCCUCUAUAUGAUGUUCUAUCAACCCGCCUCAGAUAUCUAGAUUUCCACUUCAGUUUUAUUUUGGAUCGUAAAAAGAGAAUGAGGUAGGUGGUUUUUAUAUAUUUUGAGAAUAACCAUGUUUCUUAUAUAUUCAAGAUAGGCCUAUUCACCUGCUGCAGAAAUGGAGUAAUACAGAGAU